AGAGGGUGCAAGCGUUAAUCGGAAUCAUUGGGCGUAAAGCGCACGUAGGUGGUGAUGUGUGUUGGCUGUGAAAGUCCCGGGCUUAACCUGGGGAGGCCAGUCAAAACUGCAUCACUAGAGUCUAUCAGAGGGUAGUGGAAUUUCCGGUGUAGCGGUGAAAUGCGUAGAGAUCGGAAGGAACAUCAGUGGCGAAGGCGACUACCUGGGGUAAGACUGACACUGAGGUGCGAAAGCGUGGGGGGAGCAAACAGGAUUAGAUACCCUGGUAGUCCACGCUGUAAACGAUGACAACUAGCCGUUCGUUUCUAUACGGAAUGAGUGGCGCAGCUAACGCGCUAAGUUGUCCCGCCUGGGGAGUACGGCCGCAAGGUUA
rnacentral:rRNA from 1 species